CCCAGCGUGUCAGUCUUGUCGGCACCAUCGUGACGGGAGGAGGGAAAUCACCCACACACAAGAUAGCGCGAGGACUCGUCGCUGCUGUUGCUCGGCGAGGCGUACGCGAACGGAAAAAAAUAAGUCCACUUUACGUGCUUUCCCCCGCGAUGUGCGACGGAGCGCCCGUGAAAGGUGCAUGAGAUUCUAAAUCAAUUUAGUUCGGUGCUGGUGUGCUGGAAGUAUUGUUGGUUUUGUUUUGUGUUUGUUCCCAAUUUUUUUUUUAUUCAGCGCGGAGAUUUGAAUUGUGGUGGCCAGGGCGAGGUGAAAGGACUCCGUAUGUUGUGUAUUUGUUGUUGAAUACGAACAAUAAAUACACAACAGUACAAAUCGCUUCCGAGCGUCGUUUCGAAGUGGGUGGAAAGUAGCACUCUACUACUGAGCCGUUGAGCAGUGCUGUUAGUGCCGAUACACAAGGUUUACCGUGUUUCGAAAGGAUAAUGACGAUGACAAGAUCAAAUAAUGAGGAAAGUGUGGCUUCCGGAGACUGGCCGGAAGAGGAAGAAGCGAGAGAGAAAACGAAUUAAUUGCACAAGUGCUUUUGAGGCCGAUGCCGGGGUAGCGUACAGAACUCCCAAACUUUAGUGGACACCACGAGGGUGAGAGAGUGAGAUCGGAAGGGAGUCCUGUCAUAAAAGGUUGUUCAAUUAUACUCGAUGAAAGUGACGUGAAUAUUCGGUCGCAGAGCACGGUGCGGAAAGAAACGAACAAAUGGUUUUGUGAAGGCAAAGUUUGCUGGGAAAAACAAACAGUGCAAAAAAAUCGCAAAAAAGUUCCAUACGGCGUGGGUGUUUACGUGGAUCUGUUUGUGUGCAAUCAACUGCUGCUGCUGCUCUUCCUUGGCGAUGGUUUUUCGGCAGAAUGGUGGAAAAUUCAGAUGGACUAUCGCACGGUGAAAAAAAUCGUAGUGGAAAACUCAUGAGCGAGCGAACGAACAAACAGUUGACUCAUGAUUGAAAGCAACGUGAUAAGAGUUUGAUUUUUAAUUGAAAAUUUCUCGUCGACUCCGAAAAAAGUGGUUAUGGGCGGCAGAGAAAAUGGGGAGAAGAUGUACACAGCGAGCGAUAACAUGAUCGGUGAAGAGUGAUGGUCCUGGCGACAUAGAUCAACGUCGGACAGGCGGCUUCGCAGACACAGACAGGGAACGUGAAUGCUGCCGAGGAUGUCGGCAGGCGUCCUUUUGCGAUUUACGCUAGACUGCUGCAAGAUUGAUGGUAGCGUGCACAUCAUCGGGUGUGCAGUAAGUGUCUGUUAUUGGAGUCGGAAUACAAAUCUAUUGCCGCCUGGUGGGGGUGCAGAUGUGUUUGUAGCACCGACCGGAUGAACCCAACACGGAGACGAUGGGUACAUAUGGACCAUUUCACACAUCUGCAUCGGAAGGGAACACGAAGCGCGGCUUCAGGACAACGAUGUUCUUGUUUCUUCGCAUCGUUUCUUGCAGCCGAUAACCAUGCAGUCGUGAAGUUUAAACAAGAUCUCGUUGUAUGGGGCGGGAAAACAAACAAACAAAACGAGAUUUGUUUGCGCGGCAAUACAACAGCGUCUUGUGUUCCAUAACCGGCGCGCGCGCCUUUAUUGGUCAUGUACAACACGCCAGAGAAGCAGCAGCAACAGGAGCAAUGUAAUAACGUGAUUUCGAUCCGCCAUAAACACAAUUUCGCGUCCCUGCAACCUAGUUUCGUUGCUCAAGGAUGGAAAGGACCGGAUCUGUAAUUUUGAAGCCAUUCUAGAACAUCACUCUCGGGGGAGAUUCACAGUAUGAUGUGACUUUUCCCAUGUUUACCACUGAGUGCGGUGUCAAAGCUCACCCCGUAACUCAUAAAAACAUGGAACGAAAAAAGCCUCGAUUUGUCUCCACGUGUGAUAGAUCCGAAUGAUAAUUUACCGCGUGAGAACACGUGAUCAAGAUUGUAUCUUUAUUAACAGCUACAAAGAGGGUGACACCCCCGCGCCAGUGGAAAAUGAAGCGAAAACAAGUAAAGGCUGUAUACUUACAUGGAAGAAGCCACCAAUCCUGCUAUGCUUAUUUGCUCAGCGUGUCAACCGCGACCAAAAUAUGCUGCGUUCGGUAACGACAUAUGGGCCAACAGUGAAGACGUUUUUUGAUCUAUAGCGAGAUUGGAAAAAAAGGAGAGACACGAAAAUAAAUAAAUAUAAAUUGCUGUGAGUAAAGAAUUUGAA